rnacentral:rRNA from 1 species
UACAUGCAAGUCGGACGGGAUUGGAGAGCUUGCUUUCCAUGAGAGUGGCGCACGGGUGCGUAACACGUAUGUAACCUACCUUGUUCAGGGGGAUAGCCUCUCGAAAGAGAGAUUAAGACCGCAUAACAUUACAAUGUGGCAUCACAAAGUAAUCAAAUAUUUAUAGGAACAAGAUGGGCAUGCGGAACAUUAGCUAGUUGGUGAGGUAACUGCUCACCAAGGCUACGAUGUUUAGGGGAUCUGAGAGGAUGACCCCCCACACUGGUACUGAGACACGGACCAGACUCCUACGGGAGGCAGCAGUAAGGAAUAUUGGUCAAUGGGCGCAAGCCUGAACCAGCCAUGCCGCGUGCAGGAAGACGGCCCUACGGGUUGUAAACUGCUUUUGUACCGGAAUAAACCUCUUUACGUGUAAAGAGUUGAAUGUACGGUAAGAAUAAGGAUCGGCUAACUCCGUGCCAGCAGCCGCGGUAAUACGGAGGAUCCAAGCGUUAUCCGGAUUUAUUGGGUUUAAAGGGUGCGUAGGCGGUUCUUUAAGUCAGGGGUGAAAGACGGCAGCUUAACUGUCGCAGUGCCUUUGAUACUGAAGAACUUGAAUACACUAGAGGUAGGCGGAAUGUGACAAGUAGCGGUGAAAUGCAUAGAUAUGUCACAGAACACCAAUUGCGAAGGCAGCUUACUAUGGUGUCAUUGACGCUGAGGCACGAAAGCGUGGGGAUCAAACAGGAUUAGAUACCCUGGUAGUCCAC